rnacentral:rRNA from 1 species
AUGCACCAAGACGAUCCGAUCCUGCGACAGAUAUCAGCAGUUCAGCGCCUCCGUCGGGUCAACUGCUUGUUUUCCAUUUUUUCCUUUGCAAAAAGUCCACUAUUUUCCUUAUCUGAACAGCACAGCGCGAAGAAUAGAUUACUCGUUAAUGGACUAAAUCGGAUCCACCGCCCACCACCACCGCCACCGCGAGAGGAAGAAGACGGCUUCCUCCCCCAGCCGUCGUGGCGAGCUGGCGCGGUUUGUCUUGAUUGGUGGUUGAUAAACAAGAAGGAAAAUGGAAAAGUAGAAAAUCUACAUGUUUAUACCGUUGAGGUAUGCCUGUGCGGACACCCGGCCGGAAAUCAGCUGCAGAUUCAUUUCCCGGCCGCGGCGCCGGCCGUCGCCAUCGACGCCGCUUCAAAUCCAUGGCUUUUUUUACGCUUUCCUCUCCAGCGGCUCCUGCGUAGUCCUUUGACACGCCCGACGCCGCCCCCCACCCAAACCCCCCUUUAA